rnacentral:rRNA from 1 species
GACGAACGCUGGCGGCGUGCUUAAUACAUGCAAGUCAACUUGACUUUAGAUAGCAAUAUCGAAAAGUAGGGUGGCGCACGGGUGCGUAACGCGUAGGUAAUCUGCCCUGAGGUCUGACAUAACCCGUCGAAAGGCGGGCUAACAUCAGAUGAUAUAUAGUCACGACAUCGUGGAAAUAUCAAAUCUUCGGAGCCUUGGGAUGAGCCUGCGUCUGAUUAGGUAGUUGGCGGAGUAAUAGCCCACCAAGCCUACGAUCAGUAGCUGGUCUGAGAGGAUGAUCAGCCACACUGGAACUGAGACACGGUCCAGACUCCUACGGGAGGCAGCAGUAAGGAAUAUUGCUCAAUGGGGGAAACCCUGAAGCAGCAACGCCGCGUGAAGGAUGAAAUACUUUUGUAUGUAAACUUCUGUAAGAUGGGAAAAAUAUUACUCCUCGGGAGAAUUGAUUGUACCAUCAGAGUAAGCCCCGGCUAACUACGUGCCAGCAGCCG